rnacentral:rRNA from 1 species
CAGUAGCCACGGGAAUACGUAGGUGGCAAGCGUUGUCCGGAAUUAUUGGGCGUAAAGGGCUCGCAGGCGGUUUCUUAAGUCUGAUGUGAAAGCCCCCGGCUCAACCGGGGAGGGUCAUUGGAAACUGGGAAACUUGAGUGCAGAGGAGGAGAGUGGAAUUCCACGUGUAGCGGUGAAAUGCGUAGAGAUGUGGAGGAACACCAGUGGCGAAGGCGACUCUCUGGUCUGUAACUGACGCUGAGGAGCGAAAGCGUGGGGAGCGAACAGGAUUAGAUACCCCGGUAGUCCCUGUCUCUUAUAC